GCGGGACCCCAACUCCAGACCGGGCGGGGUGACUCGGCAGCCCCGAGGUCUGAAGGACUGGAAGAGCGAUCGGGUCCCGGAUGUGUGGUUAAAGAGCACCACAUUCACCCCGAAAGACUGGAGGUUUGCAGACCGGCAGGAGGCCCCUGGGGCCGGGCGUGGUCUCUGGACUAUUUUAAUGGGCCUUUAUGUCAGUCAUCCUCUGUGGGUACUUUUAGUUCUGCUGAAGAAUUUACAAAGUGUUUUCUACGGCAAGAGUUCUUAAAAAGGAAUGGUCACUUCUGCACCUUAGAAGUGCUGCCGAAGCCCUGCAGGGACAAUGACAGUAAAACCUUGGUCUGCCGGCAUACUUCCUUCCGGAAACAGGCUUGUAAUCCAAACCCCUUGUAUAUCAAAGCAAAUUUCCCCAUAGGAUAUAAUGGAAACCCAGGUGAUUCGUUCCACAGCCCAAAAUACUCAUAUGGGGAUGAUUACAAUACUGUAAUAUAAUGUAAAAUAAUAAGGGAAUAAAGAAAAGUAAACACAUUAACCUGCACUUGCCUUUGGAAACUUGCCUGGCCGGUGUGAGGGAGACGGGAGGAGGGUUAUUGUGUAGGACUUUCGAAGUCACCAGCUCACUAAUGGAAUCCCUGCUGUCUAUUGGCUGAAUGGAAGCUUUUCCUUUUCAUGCAACUUUAACAAGAAGCCUGUCCAAUGACACUGGCUUUUGCCUCCUUUUGAGGAUUUCGUGGAAAUGUGACAUUGCCUUGUCAUUAAAUUCAUUGCUUACGUGGCUACAGCCUCUUGGGGUGGUGCUUUUCUGUAAAAUUUUGCAUUGUUUCUCACCUUUUACACAUCUCCCUAAAAUCAUUUGAAGUGAGGCAUUUCUCUACUUUUUUCUCCUCUACCUCUGCAGAUGAGUUCUCCUUAACCUCUGGCUGUUGGGAGAGAGAGAGAGAGAGGGAGGGAGGGAGAGAGAGAGAGGUGACAUUAGGUGUCACCUACCACUCCUAUUGCAAGACAUUGCUCAUAAAUCAAGAUAAAAUGUAAUGUUUACUCAUCUUGCAGAACAUUAACAGAACAAGUUACUCACAGUCCCAGGUUUUGCUGUUCUCUUGUACCUGACCGUUGGCCUAAAGAUUUCACCUGCAAAUGGGCAGAGUGCAAAUCUUACAUAACUUCAUCACUCCAUGGGGGUGGGGCUUGAUGUUGGCCACGUAGAUCUGGGUGAUAGUGUGAGUGGGG
rnacentral:lncRNA from 1 species